CCACGGGUGGCAGAGAGGCUAAAUGCACUUGGCUGUAAACCAAGCGUCUCCUAGAAGACUCCGGAGGUUCGAAUCCUUCCCCGUGGACCA
rnacentral:tRNA from 1 species